GGAACUUUCAAUUUGGAUAGGAAGUAUAAGCAGCAACAAACUUGUCAAAGACAGACAUCUUAUGAAGGCACCAUCAUUUCUCUUUGUCACCACCCCCAAACACAACGCAUGGGAGGUACAGACACAG